ACCUAAACCAAGCCCAGCCAACCCAUCAAUCAUACUACACCCAAAAACCAAACCAUUUGACAAAAAAAGUAUUUGCGAAAGAACUUUAAAGCCUGGAGCAGCCUUACCGCAAGGGAAAAUUGAAAGAAAAAUGAAAUACUUUAAGCCAAACAAAGCAAAGAUUAACCCUUGUACCUCUCGCAUCAUGAUUUAGCGAGCACCCCCCAGGCAAAGAGCCCUUAAGUCUGUGUUCCCGAAACUGCGUGAGCUACUCCCGGCAAUUAUCGUGAAUCA
rnacentral:rRNA from 1 species